UAGUCCACGCCGUAAACGAUGAGAACUAGCCGUUGGGCAGAUUUAACUGUUCAGUGGCACAGCUAACGCAUUAAGUUCUCCGCCUGGGGAGUACGGCCGCAAGGCUAAAACUCAAAUGAAUUGACGGGGGCCCGCACAAGUGGUGGAGCAUGUGGUUUAAUUCGAUGCAACGCGAAGAACCUUACCAACCCUUGAAAUCUAGCGAAGUUCACAGAGAUGAGAAUGUGCCUUCGGGAACGCUAUGACAGGUGUUGCAUGGCUGUCGUCAGCUCGUGUCGUGAGAUGUAUGGUUAAGUCCAGUAACGAGCGCAACCCCUAUCCUUAUUUGCCAGCGCGUUAAGGCGGGAACUAUAGGGAGACUGCCGGGUGAAACCCGGAGGAAGGCGGGGACGAGGUCAAGUCAUCAUGGCCCUUAUGGGUUGGGCUACACACGUGCUACAAUGGGAAGUACAGAGGGAUGCGAAAGCGCGAGCUGGAGCCAAACCCUUAAAACUUUCUUAGUCAGGA
rnacentral:rRNA from 1 species